rnacentral:snRNA from 1 species
GUGCUUGCUUCGGCAGCACAUGUACUAAAAUUGGAACAAUACAGAGAAGAUUAGUAUGGCCCCUGUGCAAGGAUGACACACAAAUUCGUGAAGCGUUCCAUCCUUUU